rnacentral:hammerhead_ribozyme from 1 species
GUACGACUGAGGAGUCCCAAACUAGGACGAAAUAGCUGUCCAGUAC